CUCACCUUUCACAAUGGUUUCUGUGAAGAUUAGUCAUAAUGUAUGUACAGCGGCUGGCACACAACAAAUGGUGGUUAUAAUUAUCCAUAUCUAAAAAAGAGGGAAGGAAACCAUGAAUAUACCUUUAUAUAACUUCCCACCCGUUUGCCCUCAGAAAGACAUUUCAAGUGGUCUGGAAUCUAGUAUCGGUGGAGGGAUUUCUUACAACUGGACUAUUUGAAGAGGAUUCUUUCAUGAAGAGUGGGCAAAGUGGAAAACAAGUGUGAAGAUCACGAAAAGAACUUAAAGAAAUCUCCUGCUCACAGAUCUACUCCCAGGCCUUGGACUAGCCACCAAGCACCCUCUGAAAGUAUAAAAUAGGACUCUGAGAUCCUGAAUAAAAGUACCACAUCCACGCAAGG
rnacentral:lncRNA from 1 species